AAGAUGCUAGUAUAAUAUAUUACCCUGCCUUGUCAAGGCAAAAUUGCAGGUUAAAAUCCUGCGCAUCUUA
rnacentral:tRNA from 1 species